AGAAAAAAAAAAAAAAUGAUAGAGAGAGGUGAAAGGUUGGACUACAACUUUUUUUUUUUUUUUUUUUUUUUUUUU
rnacentral:ribozyme from 1 species